UGGGGAAUUUUGGACAAUGGGCGAAAGCCUGAUCCAGCAAUGCCGCGUGUGUGAAGAAGGCCUUCGGGUUGUAAAGCACUUUUGUCCGGAAAGAAAUGGCUCUGGUUAAUACCUGGGGUCGAUGACGGUACCGGAAGAAUAAGGACCGGCUAACUACGUGCCAGCAGCCGCGGUAAUACGUAGGGUCUAAGCGUUAAUCGGAAUUACUGGGCGUAAAGCGUGCGCAGGCGGUUGUGCAAGACCGAUGUGAAAUCCCCGAGCUUAACUUGGGAAUUGCAUUGGUGACUGCACGGCUAGAGUGUGUCAGAGGGGGGUAGAAUUCCACGUGUAGCAGUGAAAUGCGUAGAGAUGUGGAGGAAUACCGAUGGCGAAGGCAGCCCCCUGGGAUAACACUGACGCUCAUGCACGAAAGCGUGGGGAGCAAACAGG
rnacentral:rRNA from 1 species